rnacentral:miRNA from 1 species
UAUUGCACUUGACCAUGGCCU